UGGGGAAUAUUGCACAAUGGGCGCAAGCCUGAUGCAGCAACGCCGCGUGAACGAUGAAGGUCUUCGGAUCGUAAAGUUCUGUUGCAGGGGAAGAUAAUGACGGUACCCUGUGAGGAAGCCCCGGCUAACUACGUGCCAGCAGCCGCGGUAAUACGUAGGGGGCUAGCGUUAUCCGGAUUUACUGGGCGUAAAGGGUGCGUAGGCGGUCUAUUAAGUCAGGUGUGAAAGCGUGAGGCUUAACCUCAUUAAGCACUUGAAACUGAUAGACUUGAGUGAAGGAGAGGAAAGUGGAAUUCCUAGUGUAGCGGUGAAAUGCGUAGAUAUUGGGAGGAACACCAGUAGCGAAGGCGGCUUUCUGGACUGCAACUGACACUGAGGCACGAAAGCGUGGGUAGCAAACAGG
rnacentral:rRNA from 1 species